rnacentral:rRNA from 1 species
GACGAACGCUGGCGGCGUGCUUAAUACAUGCAAGUCGACUGAACUUAAGGUAGCAAUAUUUUAAGGGAGGUGGCGCACGGGUGAGUAACACGUAGGUAAUCUGCCUUUAGGACUGACAUAACCCAGAGAAAUCUGGGCUAAUAUCAGAUGAUGCAGCGGCUCGACAUCGAGACAGUUGUUAAACCUUCGGGGCCUAGAGAUGAGCCUGCGUCUGAUUAGGUAGUUGGCGGGGUAAUGGCCCACCAAGCCAUCGAUCAGUAGCUGGUCUGAGAGGAUGAUCAGCCACACUGGAACUGAGACACGGUCCAGACUCCUACGGGAGGCAGCAGUGAGGAAUAUUGGACAAUGGAUGGAAAUCUGAUCCAGCCAUGCCGCGUGCAGGAAGACGGCCCUAUGGGUUGUAAACUGCUUUUGUAUGGGAGCAAUAAGGUCUAUGCGUAGACUGAUGAGAGUACCAUACG